rnacentral:ncRNA from 1 species
AAAGCUGUGUAAAAAAGAGAGAUGGACUUUAGUGCAAGCACCAUUCUUCCAUCUCCUAUUUUUACUUUGCUUU